rnacentral:rRNA from 1 species
GCCGCAGUUAAACUGUGCUAAGGUAGCAUAAUAACUUGCCUUUUAAUUGAAGGAUUGCAUGAAAGGUUAAACGAUCAAAAAAUUCCUUAAAUCAUAUAAUUAUAAAAUUACCUUAAGCAUAAAAAGAUGCUUAUAAAAAAGAAAGACAACAAGACCCUAUCGAACUUAACUAAAGUUAACUGGGGCGGUAUAAAAUUAUAACUUUACAAUUAUAUCCAAAUAAACGAUCCAAUAAUAUUGUACACUAUAACAAGUUACCGUAGGGAUAACAGCGUAAUUAUUACUAAAAGCACGCAUUAUAUUAAUAGAUUACGACCUCGAUGUUGAAUUUAGUUUUUCUUUUUUACGCAAUAGUAAACAAAAGUAGGUCUGUUCGACCUUUAAACCACUACAUGAUUUGAGUUCAGACCGGUGCAAACCAGGUCAGUUUCUAUCUUCUUAACUUUACGUAAUAGUACGAAAGGACCUUACAAAUAAUA